AAGUCGCUUUCAGUCACCAGACUAGAAGAAAAGAUGCCGCAUUUGGGACUUCUGGGGUCUGACAAGGAUGAUUUUCUUGUUGUUGACUUAUAUGAAAGCGCUUAUUGAAUAGGAUGGUGACUUAUCUGAAAGGGUUUAUUGAGUAGGUUGGUGACAGCUCAGAGGAAACUUAAAUGUACAUGAACAGUGGAGUCGACAUCUGAAAACGCCCCUGUGUUGUUCACUGGAGGCAAGAAACAUAUACCACAGAUUGUAGCAACUGCUAGACAAAGAAAGCCUACCAGUAUUGCUGGGCGAGCCUUGCACACACUGCUGUGGGCGAGCAAGUGGAGCUGCCACGGACCUGGAGAGAACCCAAGUAUCAGCGAGCAGCCAUCUGGAGGAUUCAGGCCUUCACAAUGUGGCAAUCAGAUUCUCCCAAGAACUGAUUGCUGGGCUUGUUCACUGGGAGGAACUGCAAGCAGUGUGUCUAAUCGUGGUCUGAGAACAACUUCUAGUAAAUAAGGAGUUAGGAAGGAAAAACAUCGAAGACAUCAAUCUGCAUCCAUUGUGUCCGAAAAGGAACAAACCCCUAGAAGAGCAGAAGGACCUCACCUAGUAAGAACUGGACUCAACAAGGACCCAGCACUUUCACAAUGCAAAGGAUACCACCACAGUCUGAAACAGUCCUCUUGACUCCUUGUCCCUGGUAGUCUAAAAAACUCUCAUCUCAGGACAUGCAUUUCAAAGCCAUCUGAUUUUACUGAAGAGAUUUAGAAGGGAGUAAGAGCAUCAGAUCACUCUGCCAGCUGAGGUGGAAAGGAGACAGGGCAUCAUGGAGAAGGUGAAGAAGCCAGUUCUGCCAUCAUGCAGGUGUUGAACAAACAAAAACAACAAACAAACAAAUACAAACCCAUACAAACUGAGGGAAUCCUGGAGAUGAAAAACCAAGGGAAGAGAACAGGAAGAACAGACGUAAGCAUCAGCAACAGAAUACAAGAGAUGGAAGAGAGAAUCUCAAGCAUAGAAAAUACACUUGAAGAAAUUGAUACAUCAAAGAAAAUGUUAAAUCUAAAUAAUUCCUGACACAAAACAUCCAGGAAAUCUGGGAUACCAUGAAAAGACCUAACCUAAGAAUAAUAGGACCAGAAGUCAUCAAAGAAUCCCAGCUCCGGGUAGCAGAAAAUAUUCUCAACAAAAUCAUUGAGGAAAAGUUUCUCAACCUAAAGAAAGAGAUGCCUUUAAACAUUCAAGAAGCUUAGAAAACACAAAUUAGACUGGAUCAGAAAAGAGAAUCCUCCUGCCACAUAAUCAUCAAAACACAAUAUGUACAGAACAAAGGAAGGCUAUUAAAAUCAACAAGGGAAAAGGUCAGGUAACAUACAAAGGCAAACCUCCCAGAAUUACACCAGACUUCUCAACAGAAAAUUUAAAAGCUAGAAAGGCCUAGACAGAUAGCUUGCAACCUUUAAAAAAAACACAGAUACCAAACUAGACUAAGAUACCCAGAAAAAAAUCUUAAUCACAGUAGAUGGAGAAAAGUUAUGUCCAGACAAAUCCAAAUUAAAACAAUAUAUAUCGACAAAUCCAGUCCUACUAAAAAAAAAUAUCCUAGAAGGAUAACUCCAACCAGAAGAGGAUAACAACAUUGAAGAGCACAGGAAAUAAGUAACUCCAGGCUAGCAAAAGCAAGGGUAACACACACACACACACACACACACACACACACACACACACUCACACCCCACACCACAAACAUCAAAAUAACAGGAAGUAACAUUCACUGAUCAUUAAUAUCUCUCAACUUCAAUUGACUCAGUUCCCCAAUAAAAGGACACAGGUUAGCAGAAUGGAUGUGAAAACAGGAUCUGUCCUUCUGCUGCAUACAAGAAACACAUCUCAGCAAUAAAAAGUAGACAUUAUCUCAGAUUAAAGGACUAGCCAAACAAACCAAAAGAAAGAGAGACAGUGUCCAAAUAAAAUCAGAAAUGGAAAGGAAGACAUUAACAACAGAUACUAAGGAAAUCGAAAGAAUCAUUAGGUCUUACUUCAAAAGUCUGUACUCUACAAAAUUGUAAAGUAUUGAUGAAAUGGAUGAUUUUCUACCACUUGUGAAAGUUAAAUCAUGAUCACGUAAACUAUUUAAACAGCCCUAUAAGAAAUAAAAAGAAAUAAGUCGCAGUCAUUGAAAGUCUCCCAUCCAAAAGCAAUAAGUGGUUCUGGUACAGUAUUCAACUAGACCUUCAAAGAAAAGCUGAGUGUUGACUCCUCAAACUACUUCACAAAAUAGAAACAGAAGGAACUCUAUCAAACUCAUUCUUUGAGGGUACUGUCACCCUGAUACUUAUAUCACACAAAGAUUCAACAAAGAAAAAAAUUUCAGACCAAUUUCUGUUAUGAACAUUAAUGCAAAAACACGCAAUAAAAUACUUGCAAACUAAAUCCAGAAACACAUCAAGAACAUCAUCCACCAUGAUCAAGUAGGGAUCCCAGGGAUGCAGGGAUGGUUCAAUAUAUGAAAAUUAAUUAACACGAUCCAUCAUACAAAUAAACUGAAAGAAAAAAUGGUAUGUUUAUUUCAGUAUUUGCUGAAAAACCUUUGCUAAAAUCCAAUAUCUUCAUGUUAAAAGCCUUAAAGAGAUCACAGAUACAAGACAUAUACUUAAACGGAAUAAAAGCAAUAUACAUCAAGCAAAUCAUAUUAAAUGGAGAGAAACUUAAAGCCAUCCCUUGGACAAGACAAGGUUGCCCACUCUUUUCUCUGUCUAUUGAAUACAGAAGUUAAAGUUCUAGUGAGGGCAAUAAAACAACUAAAAGAUAUUAAAGGAUUAAAAAUUGGAAAGGAAGAAGUCAAAGUAUCACUAUUUGUAAAUGAUUUGAUAGUAUACAUAAGCUACCCCCAAAAUUCUACCAGAGAAUUCUUACAGUUGAUAAACAACUUCAGCAAAGUGACUGGAUACAAAAUUAACUAAAAAAAAAAAAAGGUAGCUCUCCCUUAUAUAAAUGAUAAAUGGGCAAAGAAAGAAAUUUGAGAAAUAAUACCUUUUACAACAGUCACAGAUAAUAUAAAGUAUCUUAGUGCAAAUGUAACGAAGCAAGUAAAAGAUCUAUAUGACAAGAACUUCAAGUCUCUGAAGAAAGUAAUCGAUGAAGAUAUCAAAAGAUGGAAAGAUCUCACAUGCUCAUGGAUCGGUAGAAUUACUGUUGUGAAAAUAGCCAUUUUACCAAAAGCAAUUUACAGAGUCAAUGCAGUCCCCAUUAAAAUUUCAACACAAUUCUUACAGACUUUUACAGAGCAAUACUCAACUUUAUGUGAAAAAAACAAAACAAAAACCCAGGAUAGCUAAAUUUUUUGACCCUGAACAAUAAAAGAAUUUCUGGAGGAAUCACCAUCCCUGACCUCAAGCUGUUUCUACAAAGCAAUAGUAAUAAAAACUACAUGGUAUUUGGAUAGAGACAUAUCGGUUGACCAAUGGAAUCAAAUCAAAGACCCUGAAAUAAACCCACACACCUAUGGACACUUCAUUUUGACAAAGGAGGCAAAAACCAUACAAUGGAAAGAGAAAAAAACAUCUCCAACAAAUGGUGUUGAUCUAGCUGGAUGUCUGUAUUAGAAGAUGCAAAUAGAUGCAUAUUUAUCACCAUGCAUAAAACUCCAGUCUAAGUGAAUCAAAGACCUCAAUGUAAAACUGGAUACACUAAAUCUAAUAGAACAGAAAGUAGGGAAUAGCCUUGAACUCAUUUGUAUAGCAGACAACUUCCUGAAGAGAACAUCAAUGGCUCCAGCUCUAUGAUCAACAAGAAAUGGGACAUCGUGAAACUAAAAUCUUCUGUAAGGCAAAGGACACUAUCAUUAGGACAAAGGCUGCUGUUUUAGGGUUUGUAUUCCUGAACAACACAUCAUGACCAAGAGGAACAUUGGGGAGAAAAGGGUUUAUUCGGCUAACACUUCCACAUUGCUGUUCAUCACCAAAGGAAGUCAGGACAGGAACUCACACAGGGAAGGAACUUGGAUGCAAAAGCUGAUACAGAGGCCAUGGGGGUUGCUGCUUACUGUCUUGCUUCCCCUGACUUGCUCAGCCUGCUUUCUUAUAGAACCCAGGACUGCCAGCCCAGAGACGGCACCACCCACAGCGGGCUGGGCCCACAUUUGAUCACAAAUUGAGAAAAUGCCUUACAGCUGCAUCUCAUGGAGACAUUUCCUCAAGGGAGGGCUCUUUUCUCUGUGAUAACUCCAACUUGUGUCAAGUUAACACACAAAACCAGCCAGUAUAACUGACCCUUUGUCAAUUUGAAACACAAACAUGUCACUGCUACUUCUUAUUCAUUCCCCAAGAUCUAAAUGACUUUAAAAGUCCCCACAUUCUUUACAGAUUCUUAUAUAUGAAAAUAUAAAUUCCUUUAAAGUAUCCAAUAUCUUUUGAAAUUCAAAGUCUUUUAACUGUGGGCUCCACUAAAAUUUUUUUCCUUCAAGAGGGAAAAAUAUCGGGGCACAGUCACAAGAGCAAAAUCAAAUCUAACCAUCUGAGAGCUACUGAUUAGCUUAUGGGCUCCUCCAAGAGCUUAGGUCACUUCUCCAGCUCUGCCCUUUGUGGCAUACACCAUGUCUUCUAGGCUCCAGUUGCCUGUUCUCUGCUGCUGCUAUUGGUGGUGGUCAUUUCAUGGUACUGGAAUCUCCAAAACACUAUAACUGCUGUCUUCUGCUGCAACUAGACUUCACCAAUAGCCUCUCAUAGGCUCUCAUCAUGGUGCCAAGCCUCAACUCCUUUGCAUGACCCCUUAAGCCCUAGGCCAUCAAUUUCAACUGAGGCUGCACCUUCACCAGUGGCCUUCCAUGACCUUUCACAGUGCCCAGCCUCAGCUGCUCUUCCUGACCCCUUCAUGCCUUCAAAACCAGCACCACCUGGGUGACUCUUUCACAUUACCAAGUCCAGCCACAGCACAAGGUACAACCUUGUCUAUCUCUGGAACACAGUCUCUUUGUGCUCUCAGAAAGCACUUCCCAGAAGAUUUCACCUCAGUGAUGUUAGUCUCUUCUUAAUCACCACUAAUUUCUUAGCUCCAGCUGCCCAGCAUCAAUAGUCCCAGUAAUGCAAAGGGUUCACUGUAGUAGUUCUGGUAUCUUGUUAAUCACAGCUGAGUCUUCAGCCCCAGCCAACCAAAACCACAGAAUCUUCACAAUCAAAAAAGCAAUGGCUGAUAAGAGUCUUUAAUCUUCUCUCUAAAAUUUCACAAGCCAGGCCUCCAUUUUCAAUGUUCUCAACAUUAUCUUCCAAGCUCCUAGAGAAUAUCCCACAGAGCUCUUAACAUCCAAUAGCUCUUCUAACCCAAAGCUCCCACUUCCAUUCAGAGUCCACCUCAAAACUUGUUCAGGUUGUCACAGGAAUACCCUACUAUGCUGGUACCAAUUUGUGUUAGUCAGGGUGUAUAUUCCUGCCCAACACAUCAUGACCAAGAAGCACAUUGGGGAGAAAAGAGCUUAUUCAACUUAUAAUUCCACAGUGCUGUUCAUCACCAAAGGAAGUAAGAACAGAAACUCACACAGGGCAGGGACUCGAAUGCAAGAACUGAUGCAGAGGCCAUGGAGUGUGUUGCUUCUUACUGGAUUGCUUCCCCUGAUUGCUCAGCUUGCUUUCUUAUAGAACCCAGGACUACUAACCCAGGGAUGGCACCACCCACAAUGGGCUGGGCCCUCUCCCCUUGAUCUCGAAUUGAGAAAAUGCCUUACAGCUGAAUCUCAUGGAUGCAUUUUCUUAAGGGAGGCUCCUUUCUCUGUGAUAACUCCAGCUUGUGUCAAGUUGACACACAAAACCAGCCAGUACAGCUGCCUACAGACUGUAAAAAAAGUUCUUCACCAAUCCUACAUCUGACAGAGGGCUAAUAUCCAAAAUAUAUAAGGACCUCAAGAAGUUUGACAGCCACAAUCCAAAUAACUCAAUUAAAAAUGGGGUACAGGGCUAAACAUAGAAUUCUCAACAGUGGAAUCAAAUUGCUGAGAGGCACCUAAAAAUAUUCAAAGUCCUUAGUCAUCAGAGAAAUGCAAAUCAAAACAAUUCUGAGAUUCUGUCUCAGCAGUCAGAAUUUAUAAGAUCAAAAACUCAAGUGAUAGCAUAUACUGAUGGUGAUGUGGAGCAAUGAGAACUGCUGGUGGGAGUGCAAACUUGUUCAACCAUUUUGUAAAUCAAUUUGCUGGAUUCUCAGAAAACUAGGAAUUCUCAGAAAUUGAUCUCAAGGUCCAGCUAUACCAAACUUGGGCUUAUGCCCCGAAGAUACCCCAGUAUACCACAGGGACACUUGUUCCACUAUGUUAAUAGCAGUUUUAUUUGUAAUAGCCAGAAACUAGAAACAACCCAAUGUCCCUCAACCAAACAAUGAAUGAAGAAAGUGUACGUCUAUACAAUGGAAUACUAUACAACUAUUAAAAACUAAGACAGCAUAAAUUUUUCAGGCAAAUGGAUGGAAUUUGAGAAUAUCAUCCUGAGUGAGGUUACCCAGAGCCAAAGGACAAACAUGACAGGAGCUUAGCAUGGCUGUCCUCUGAGAGGCUCCAUCAAGCAGCUGACUCAGACAGGUGAAGAAACCCACAGCCAAACAGUGGAUGGAGCUUAUGGAUUCUUAUAGAAAAGUUGGGGAAGCAUAGAGGACCCUGAAUGCAAUGGGAUCACCACAGGAAGACCAAGAGAAUCAACUAACCUGGACUCUUGGGGGCUCUCAGAGACUGAAUCACCAACAAAAGAGCAUACAUGGGGUGCACCUAGGCUUCCUUACACAUAUGCAGCACAUGUGCAUCUUGGUUUGCAUGUGGGACUGGAACAACUUGAGUGGGGACUAUCCAUAAAAGCUGUUGCCUAUCUGUGGAAUAUGUUUCCCUAACAAGGCUAUCUUGUCUGACCUCAGAGGCAGAAGAAACACAUAGCCCUACAGAGACUUGAUGUGCCAGGGUUGGGGGAUUCCUGUGGGGGGGGCUCCACCCUUUCAGAGGAGAAGGGUAUGGGGAAUGGGAGGAGGGGCUGUGGAAGGGGAACAGAGAUCAGGUUGUAAAGCGAAUAAUAAAAAAAACAAACAAACAAAAAACCCAA